GUUAGCGGCGGACGGGUGAGUAACGCGUGGGAACGUGCCCUUUUCUACGGAAUAGCCUCGGGAAACUGAGAGUAAUACCGUAUACGCCCUUUUGGGGAAAGAUUUAUCGGAGAAGGAUCGGCCCGCGUUGGAUUAGGUAGUUGGUGGGGUAAUGGCCUACCAAGCCGACGAUCCAUAGCUGGUUUGAGAGGAUGAUCAGCCACACUGGGACUGAGACACGGCCCAG
rnacentral:rRNA from 1 species